rnacentral:rRNA from 1 species
AUUGAACGCUGGCGGCAGGCCUAACACAUGCAAGUCGAGCGGAUGAAGGGAGCUUGCUCCUGGAUUCAGCGGCGGACGGGUGAGUAAUGCCUAGGAAUCUGCCUGGUAGUGGGGGAUAACGUCCGGAAACGGGCGCUAAUACCGCAUACGUCCUGAGGGAGAAAGUGGGGGAUCUUCGGACCUCACGCUAUCAGAGGAGCCUAGGUCGGGUUAGCUAGUUGGUGGGGUAAAGGCCUACCAAGGCGACGAUCCGUAACUGGUCUGAGAGGAUGAUCAGUCACACUGGAACUGAGACACGGUCCAGACUCCUACGGGAGGCAGCAGUGGGGAAUAUUGGACAAUGGGCGAAAGCCUGAUCCAGCCAUGCCGCGUGUGUGAAGAAGGUCUUCGGAUUGUAAAGCACUUUAAGUUGGGAGGAAGGGCAGUAAGUUAAUACCUUGCUGUUUUGACGUUACCAACAGAAUAAGCACCGGCUAACUUCGUG